rnacentral:rRNA from 1 species
CCUACGGGGGGCAGCAGUGAGGAAUAUUGGUCAAUGGACGCAAGUCUGAACCAGCCAUGCCGCGUGCAGGAAGACGGCUCUAUGAGGUGUAAACUGCUUUUGUACGAGGGUAAACGCAGAUAAGCGUAGCUGGCUGAAAGUAACGUACGAAUAAGGAUCGGCUAACUCCGUGCCAGCCGCCGCGGUAAUACGGAGGAAUCAAGCGUUAUCCGGAUUUAUGGGGUUUAAAGGGUGCGUAGGCGGUCGGAGAAGUUAGAGGUGAAAUCCCGGGGCUCAACUUCGGAAGUGCCUCUGUUCCUGUUCGGCUCGAGCGUACUUGCGGUCGGCGGCAUG